CCUACGGGAGGCAGCAGUGGGGAAUAUUGGGCAAUGGGGGAAACCCUGACCCAGCAACGCCGCGUGAAGGAAGAAGGCCUUCGGGUUGUAAACUUUUGUCCUAUGGGACGAAAAAAAUGACGGUACCAUAGGAGGAAGCUCCGGCUAACUACGUGCCAGCAGCCGCGGUAAUACGUAGGGAGCAAGCGUUGUCCGGAAUUACUGGGCGUAAAGGGUGCGUAGGUGGCCAUGUAAGUCAGGUGUGAAAGACCGGGGCUCAACCCCGGGGUUGCACUUGAAACUGUGUGGCUUGAGUACAGGAGAGGGAAGUGGAAUUCCUAGUGUAGCGGUGAAAUGCGUAGAUAUUAGGAGGAACACCAGUGGCGAAGGCGACUUUCUGGACUGUAACUGACACUGAGGCACGAAAGCGUGGGGAGCAAACAGG
rnacentral:rRNA from 1 species